rnacentral:pre_miRNA from 1 species
GCCUCACUCAACCUGGGUUUGAUGUGUUUCGUUACUAUAACAUCACAACCUCUUUGAGUGAGCUA